rnacentral:rRNA from 1 species
AACGAGCGCUGGCGGCAGGCUUAACACAUGCAAGUCGAGCGCCCAGCAAUGGGAGCGGCGGACGGGUGAGUAACACGUGGGAAUAUGCCUUUCGGUACGGAACAACUCAGGGAAACUUGAGCUAAUGCCGUAUGCGCCCUUACGGGGAAAGAUUUAUCGCCGAAAGAUUAGCCCGCGUCUGAUUAGCUAGUUGGUGAGGUAAUGGCUCACCAAGGCGACGAUCAGUAGCUGGUUUGAGAGAACGACCAGCCACACUGGGACUGAGACACGGCCCAGACUCCUACGGGAGGAAGCAGUGGGGAAUCUUGGACAAUGGAGGAAACUCUGAUCCAGCCAUGCCGCGUGAGUGAUGAAGGCCUUCGGGUUGUAAAACUCUUUCGGCGGGGACGAUAAUGACGGUACCCGCAGAAGAAGCUCCGGCUAACUUCGUGCCAGCCGCCGCCGUAAGAC